rnacentral:rRNA from 1 species
UACGGGGGGGGCAAGCGUUGUUCGGAAUUACUGGGCGUAAAGGGCUCGUAGGCGGCCAACUAAGUCAGACGUGAAAUCCCUCAGCUUAACUGGGGAACUGCGUCUGAUACUGGAUGGCUUGGAUUCGGGAGAGGAAUGCGGAAUUCCAGGUGUAGCGGUGAAAUGCGUAGAUAUCUGGAGGAACACCGGUGGCGAAGGCGGCAUUCUGGACCGAUAUUGACGCUGAUGAGCGAAAGCCAGGGGAGCAAACGGG